rnacentral:lncRNA from 1 species
UACGCAUUUGCUACAUGUAUCUUGAUGAGUUUGGAUAUAUGCAUAUGCCUGUGAUGCCAUCACCACAACCAAGUUACUAGACAUACCCAUCAAGAUGGUUGUUCAUUAUUAUUCAUUCUCACCUUUUUCCAUGACAAAACCCACAUUUUUAGUUAAGCACAGAAUUAUCUGAAAUAAAAACUAUAUAUUUGAGGGAGAGAUGGAUUUCCAUCUUGUGUAAGCCGCUGCUACUGUGGGCCUCUGCUUCUGGCCAAACCUGAUCUCAACUGAUAGCAUGGAAAACAGCAGAUGGAGAAGUUGCCAGAGAGUUUGAACAGAGGAAAGACGGUGUCAUGGAGACAAAGAAGGGCAGAAUUUCAGAAAGGAGGUGACCUACAAUGUGAAAGACGAUGAGAUCUGAGGACAAAGAUUAAACAUCUCCAAGGCCUAGCCCCUUGCCUGGCAAAAUAACAGGAGCUCAAUUAAACACACGAAUGAAGUUUCUCCUUACAGUUCUAGCACAAUCUUUUUGAUGUUCUGCUUAGUUUGCUCCUUGUGUGAGAGGGAGAGACUUUCUGAUGCUGUUCCUGGCUUCUCAGUGUUUUCAUCUAAAAAGUAAUGAUGAAGAGGAGAGAUCAGAAGGUGGAAUUUCUACAUAAUAUCUAUCUGGUUGGGUGAACUGUGUCUUACUUAAUUCCUCAUUCACUCAUGGAGGGCACAAGGGAACCAAUUAUUUUACAAGACUGUGGGUUCCCAAGGGUCUCUCAGAGCCUGGAGGAGUGCACGAGGCUUCUGAAGUUCCCCUGAGCAUUUCUCAGGGUAAAGGCAUUCUAAUAGGUACCUGUUAGAAGACUAUUUCUGAUACAGAGAAAGGGCAGCAUUCCAACCUUUCCCCACUGUACCUCCUCUCUGGCCUAACCCCUCAUUUUCUUACCCUAGUUCUCUGCCCCCAGUGAGAGCCAUUGCUCUUCCCCAACAUACCUCAGGCACCGCCCUCUAUGCCUCAGCUCAGGUGGUUUCUCCUCCUGGAUGUCCUCUGUCCCUGCCUCUCAAACACCAUCCACUCUCAGAGCCCAUGCCAAAUUCCAUCCUCUCUAGGAAGUCUUCCUGGAUCACCCAGCAGGCACUUGUUUUUCUCCCACAAUGCCUAUUGUUUCAUCUUCCUUUGAACAUCAGCACAUUCUGUCUUGUGGUGUUACUAUUAUUUUUAGAUGGGUAUUCAGUUUCCUGAAAGGAUGCUGCCUUGGGCUUCCGUAUAGCCCCUGGCUAGCUAGCAGACUGCCCUGAACAGAGAAGACAUCACUAGAUAGCAGUUGGUUGACUGAUUGCAGCAUCCUGCUCCUUAACUAUGCUUUCCUUUCACUGAAGUGGAGAACACACACACACACACACACACACACACACACACACACACACACACACACACACCAGCUACAACCAAUGCAGCCCCUGGUUUCAUAUUUUCAUGAGGGGACUUUACAACUUCUCAUCUUGAACUGUCAGGCAGACAUUCUACAAG